UACGUAGGUGGCAAGCGUUGUCCGGAUUUACUGGGCGUAAAGAGCGCGCAGGCGGUCGUUCAAGUCGCGUGUGAAAGCCCCCGGCUCAACUGGGGAGGGUCACGCGAUGCUGAUCGACUCGAAGGCAGGAGAGGGAAGUGGAAUUCCCGGUGUAGUGGUGAAAUGCGUAGAUAUCGGGAGGAACACCAGUGGCGAAGGCGACUUCCUGGCCUGUUCUUGACGCUGAGGCGCGAAAGCUAGGGGAGCAAACGGG
rnacentral:rRNA from 1 species